rnacentral:rRNA from 1 species
UGGGGAAUAUUGCACAAUGGGCGGAAGCCUGAUGCAGCGACGCCGCGUGAGGGAUGACGGCCUUCGGGUUGUAAACCUCUUUCAGCAGGGACGAAGCGUAAGUGACGGUACCUGCAGAAGAAGCACCGGCUAACUACGUGCCAGCAGCCGCGGUAAUACGUAGGGUGCGAGCGUUGUCCGGAAUUACUGGGCGUAAAGAGCUCGUAGGCGGUUUGUCACGUCGUCUGUGAAAUCCUAGGGCUUAACCCUGGACGUGCAGGCGAUACGGGCUGACUUGAGUACUACAGGGGAGACUGGAAUUUCUGGUGUAGCGGUGGAAUGCACAGAUAUCAGGAAGAACACCGAUGGCGAAGGCAGGUCUCUGGGUAGUAACUGACGCUGAGGAGCGAAAGCAUGGGUAGCGAACAGGAUUAGAUACCCUGGUAGUCCAUGCCGUAAACGGUGGGCGCUAGGUGUGGGGUUCCUUCCACGGGCUCCGCGCCGUAGCUAACGCAUUAAGCGCCCCGCCUGGGGAGUACGGCCGCAAGGCUA